GUCCUAGCUGUAACGAUGCUCACUAGGUGUGGGAGGUAUCGACCCUUCCGCGCCGACGCUAACGCAUUAAGUGAGCCGCCUGGGAGUACGGCCGCAAGGUUGAAACUCAAAGGAAUUGACGGGCCCGCACAAGCGGUGGAGCAUGUGGUUUAAUUCGACGCAACGCGAAGAACCUUACCUGGGCUAGAAGUGCCGGUAGUAGUCCUUUGGAAACAUGGGACGAACCGUAAAGUCGGAUGCCGGCAGAGGUGCUGCAUGGUUGUCGU
rnacentral:rRNA from 1 species